UCCGGUUUGUCACCGGCAGUCUCGCAUGAGUCCCCGGCCGAACCGCUGGCAACAUGCGACGGGGGUUGCGCUCGUUGCGGGACUUAACCCAACAUCUCACGACACGAGCUGACGACAACCAUGCACCACCUGUCACUCUGUCCCCCGAAGGGGAACGUCCUAUCUCUAGGAUUGUCAGAGGAUGUCAAGACCUGGUAAGGUUCUUCGCGUUGCUUCGAAUUAAACCACAUGCUCCACCGCUUGUGCGGGCCCCCGUCAAUUCCUUUGAGUUUCAGCCUUGCGGCCGUACUCCCCAGGCGGGGCACUUACUGCGUUAGCGACGGCACUCAGGGGGUCGCUCCCCCAAGCACCUAGUGCCCAUCGUUUAUGGCAUGGACUAC
rnacentral:misc_RNA from 1 species